GUGCCAGCCGCCGCGGUAAUUCCAGCUCCAAUAGCGUAUAUUAAAGUUGUUGUGGUUAAAAAGCUCGUAGUUGAACCUUGGGCCUGGCUGGCCGGUCCGCCUCACCGCGUGCACUGGUCCGGCCGGGCCUUUCCCUCUGUGGAACCCCAUACCCUUCACUGGGCGUGGCGGGGAAACAGGACAUUUACUUUGAAAAAAUUAGAGUGCUCCAGGCAGGCCUAUGCUCGAAUACAUUAGCAUGGAAUAAUAAAAUAGGACGCGCGGUUCUAUUUUGUUGGUUUAUAGGACCGCCGUAAUGACUAAUAGGGACAGUCGGGGGCAUCAGUAUUCAACUGUCAGAGGUGAAAUUCUUGGAUCAGUUGAAGACUAACUACUGCGAAAGCAUUUGCCAAGGAUGUUUUCAUUAAUCAGGAACGAAAGUUAGGGGAUCGAAGACGAUCAGAUACCGUCGUAGUCUUAACCAUAAACUAUGCCGACUAGGGAUCGGACGGUGUUAUUCAUGACCCGUUCGGCACCUUACGAGAAAUCAAAGUGCUUGGGCUCCAGGGGGAGUAUGGUCGCAAGGCUGAAACUUAAAGAAAUUGACGGAAGGGCACCACCAGGGGUGGAGCCUGCGGCUUAAUUUGACUCAACACGGGGAAACUCACCAGGUCCAGACACAAUAAGGGAUUGACAGAUUGAGAGCUCUUUCUUGAUUUUGUGGGUGGUGGUGCAUGGACCGUUCUUAGUGGUGGGGUGACUUGUCUGCUUAAUUGCGAUACGAACGAGACCUUAACCUGCUAAAUAGCCCGCAUUGCUCCGGCAGUGCGCUGGCUUCUUAGAAGGGACUUUCGGCUC
rnacentral:rRNA from 1 species